GAUGAACGCUGGCGGCGUGCCUAAUACAUGCAAGUCGAGCGAACAGACGAGGAGCUUGCUCCUCUGACGUUAGCGGCGGACGGGUGAGUAACACGUGGAUAACCUACCUAUAAGACUGGGAUAACUUCGGGAAACCGGAGCUAAUACCGGAUAAUAUAUUGAACCGCAUGGUUCAAUAGUGAAAGACGGUUUUGCUGUCACUUAUAGAUGGAUCCGCGCCGCAUUAGCUAGUUGGUAAGGUAACGGCUUACCAAGGCAACGAUGCGUAGCCGACCUGAGAGGGUGAUCGGCAACACUGGAACUGAGACACGGUCCAGACCCCUACGGGAGGAAGCAGUAGGGAAUCUUCCGAAAUGGGCGAAAGCCUGACGGAGCAACGCCGCGUGAGUGAUGAAGGUCUUCGGAUCGUAAAACUCUGUUAUUAGGGAAGAACAAAUGUGUAAGUAACUAUGCACGUCUUGACGGUACCUAAUCAGAAAGCCACGGCUAACUACGUG
rnacentral:rRNA from 1 species